CAGGGGACUCCUGCCUCAGAACUAGUGAGAUUUGUCUGUCCUUCACUCAAUCUUAGCUGGAGGCCAAGAAGUGAUCUCCUCCUGUCCUCCUCCACUUGCAUUAGGUGAAAGUUUGCCCACAGCAUCUCUCAUGUAUUUGGUAAUCGCUCAGUUUUUCUCACCCUGUGUUAAAACUUGGGAGUUUAGAUAACAGACUUUCUCACUUUCCCAAAGGUCUGAGAGGGAGAACACUAGCAGUUUGAAUACCAUGUGGCAUUUACCCUGCAGUAGGGGUGUGGCAGCACAGAAUGUGGUGGACAGGGCGGAGAUGCUGUGCCUCCGGACAGGAGAGCACCAGAGGAGGCCCUGAGCACGGUUCUGGUCCGGUUUCAGCAGAGCUCGCAGGUCAAUGUCAGCAGCUGCAACACCUGUCUGAAGUUGGUAAUGACUGUGACCUCUCAGAAUAUCAUCACUUCCUGGGCUCAAGGUUGGCUGAAAGCCACUCGCAUUGCUCAAGUCUGAGGUUGAAGGUGACCUCACCAGUGUUCCCUGACUGUGUUUCCGUCAGCUGCAGAAAUGAAGAGAUAAUGGUUAGAUUUAGCAACAUCAGGAGAAGCUACUGAGACAUGGACUGCAGAGCCUCAGUUCAAGAUCCUGCUGAGAAAGUGAAGCAGGCAGGGGAAGGUGAGUCCUUUGCCCAUGCAGCCUGCCGAGAAACAUGGCUGUGACUCCGGAAAGAAAGAAAACAGAUCCCAGUUCCUUGGAUGUACAUCUACUGCUACCGAGGUCACCAUGGCAGUACCACUCAGCCCCAGUCCAGGGGCUGAAGUGAAUGUUGUGGAGUUCAAGGAGUAUAAGUGCUCUUGGGUGGGAGAGAAUGAACUGCAAUUUGAAGACUGCAGAUCAAGUUCUGUUAGACCUGAAGCAGCUGUUGGCUCUCUGGACACCAAAGUGCAGAAAUGUGGAGGUGUAAAGUACAAAGAUGAUGUGGAGUCUCUGCUUGGGGAGAAGCCGCAGCCCAAAGAGCAGGAGCUGUCCGCAGAGCUUCCCCUGACCGAGCAGCUCAGGGUGUCCACGUUGCUCAUUCGAGAGCAGAAAUGGGAGCUCUCUGAGUUAACCAAGAAGCUGAAAGAAGGGAGAGCAGUGUCAUUGCUGCUGAAGGAGUCUCUGGAGGUCCACCUCAGUCGAGGUCACCCUGACAACGAGCACAGCUGGCGACAGGGACUGGCUGCAGGGUGCAGGCUGGCAGAGCAGCUCGUCCACAUGCUCAACCUAGAGAUUCCAGAACAGGAGGAGGAUGGAAAAGAACAGCUGUUGCUGGGCCCCAGUGUGAGUGCAGAGGGCCUGCAGCGGGAGGAGGAAGAAGACCAUUUGACUCCCUCUGGCGGGUCUGAGCCUGGUGAGACCCAGCAGCCUCCCUGCACCACUGCUGCCCUGGUAGAUGAGGUAGAGACCCCUUCUCCAGGUGCCUCCGAAAAUCAAAAUCACCCUGAGGACGAGGACACCCUGGAGCCAGAAUCGCCCAGGGUUAUAAUUGAAGAUCUGGCCUUGGAUUUGAAGCCUAUAGAGCAGUUUCAGAGAUGGAGGGACAUAAUCUUCUACCUGCGACUGAGUCUGAAGGACAUGCUGACCCCAGAUGGACCUGUGAGCCACCAGGAACAACAUGCAGAGAGGCGCAGGCUGGCCAAGAGCCCUCGCCCUCCAGCUCAGCCCAGAGCAGCACUGCAAUGGGGAUGAUGAGGAAGAAACAGAGUCCCCAGACUCCAGUGGUGAGCAGCAGGAUGUGAAAGUGGAUGAACUCCUGUGAGAUUCAGUAGAAGAACACUCCCUCCUCGCUUCUGGGUGUCCUGACGCACCUUACCAACAGCAAGGUCACAUCCUCGCUGCCGUCCCUGCAGAGGAGCCUGAAGCGAGUUCUGUGCCCAAUGGAACCAAACCUGAAGGCAUCCGCAAGCCACAGGAGGAGCAGGCAACCGAGCUGUGCAGGAAUUUCAGUUCUGCAAUGGAACUUUUGCCCCAGAUGUUGACAAACUUAGGGAAAACUUUCUGGAAUUGGAAGGAUAAUCAUCUUCUUCCUCCGUUGCAGCAUCAGGGACCUGCUGUCCCGGGAUGACCCUGUGAGACAGGAGGGGCAGAGCCACCGAGACCAUGCUGAGUGGCGCAAGAUGGCUGAGCGCCUCGCCCUGCAGCUCUGCCCAGGACCGGGCUCCUGGAGAACAGCAGCAUCGCCCAGCAUCCUCACGGGAAGGGGGGCCAUAGGGGAAG